CGAGCGGUUAGCACGGGGAGCUUGCUCCUGGGUGACGAGCGGCGGACGGGUGAGUAAUGUCUGGGGAUCUGCCUGAUGGAGGGGGAUAACUACUGGAAACGGUAGCUAAUACCGCAUAACGUCGCAAGACCAAAGAGGGGGACCUUCGGGCCUCUUGCCAUCAGAUGAACCCAGAUGGGAUUAGCUAGUAGGUGGGGUAAUGGCUCACCUAGGCGACGAUCCCUAGCUGGUCUGAGAGGAUGACCAGCCACACUGGAACUGAGACACGGUCCAGACUCCUACGGGAGGCAGCAGUGGGGAAUAUUGCACAAUGGGCGCAAGCCUGAUGCAGCCAUGCCGCGUGUAUGAAGAAGGCCUUCGGGUUGUAAAGUACUUUCAGCGAGGAGGAAGGCAUUAAGGUUAAUAACCUUAGUGAUUGACGUUACUCGCAGAAGAAGCACCGGCUAACUCCGUGCCAGCAGCCGCGGUAAUACGGAGGGUGCAAGCGUUUAAUCGGAAUUACUGGGCGUAAAGCGCACGCAGGCGGUUUGUUAAGUCGGAUGUGAAAUCCCCGGGCUCAACCUGGGAACUGCAUUCGAAACUGGCAAGCUUGAGUCUUGUAGAGGGGGGUA
rnacentral:rRNA from 1 species